rnacentral:rRNA from 1 species
GCAGGUGGCAAGCGUUGUCCGGAAUUAUUGGGCGUAAAGCGCGCGCAGGCGGUUCUUUAAGUCUGAUGUGAAAGCCCACGGCUCAACCGUGGAGGGUCAUUGGAAACUGGAGAACUUGAGUACAGAAGAGGAAAGCGGAAUUCCACGUGUAGCGGUGAAAUGCGUAGAGAUGUGGAGGAACACCAGUGGCGAAGGCGGCUUUCUGGUCUGUAACUGACGCUGAGGCGCGAAAGCGUGGGGAGCAAACAGGAUUAGAUACCCUGGUAGUCCACGCCGUAAACGAUGAGUGCUAAGUGUUAGGGGGGUUUUCCGCCCCCCUUAGUGCUGCAGCUAACGCAUUAAGCACUCCGCCUGGAGUACGGCCGCAAGGCUG